AAGACACUAGUAAAUAUGUUAUUACACUGCCUUGUCAAGGCAGCAUAGUGGGUUAGACCCCCGCGUGUCUUG
rnacentral:tRNA from 1 species